rnacentral:rRNA from 1 species
UUGAUUAAAAAAGAAAUUUAUUUAUGGUUGAAAAAGCCAUAUAUUAAUUAAAGACAAGAAGACCCUAUAAGCUUUUUAAAAUUAAACACCCAUGUAAAAUUUGAUUUGGUUGGGGCACAAAAGAAUAAAAACUUAUCUAAACUAGAGACAUAUCUCUCUAUAAUUAGCAUAAACCUAUAAGCAGUUACUGUAGGGAUAACAGGUAAUAUUUCCAAGAGUACGCAUCAACGGAAAUGAUUGGCACCUCGAUGUUGGCUUAGGGUAUCUACUUCUGCAGAAGUGAAGUAAGAAGGUUUGUUCCACC